GAUGAACGCUGGCGGCGUGCUUAACACAUGCAAGUCGAACGAUGAAGCCGGAGCUUGCUCUGGUGGAUUAGUGGCGAACGGGUGAGUAACACGUGAGUAACCUGCCCUUGACUCUGGGAUAAGCGCUGGAAACGGCGUCUAAUACCGGAUACGAGCUUCCACCGCAUGGUGAGUUGCUGGAAAGAAUUUCGGUCAAGGAUGGACUCGCGGCCUAUCAGCUUGUUGGUGAGGUAACGGCUCACCAAGGCGACGACGGGUAGCCGGCCUGAGAGGGUGACCGGCCACACUGGGACUGAGACACGGCCCAGACUCCUACGGGAGGCAGCAGUGGGGAAUAUUGCACAAUGGGCGCAAGCCUGAUGCAGCAACGCCGCGUGAGGGACGAAGGCCUUCGGGUCGUAAACCUCUUUUAGCAGGGAAGAAGCGAAAGUGACGGUACCUGAAGAAUAAGCACCGGCUAACUACGUGCCAGCAGCCGCGGUAACAC
rnacentral:rRNA from 1 species